GCCAGGGUCGCGCUCUAAUGCGAAAGGAGCGAAAGCAGCGACGCGGCGAAAGAGAUGAGGGCCGAGCGACACCAGCGCCGACGCCUCGUGAAGGAGCCGAGCUCUGGAACAUCCCCCUCGGUGGAGAGGCAGGGAUGGGGAGCGUUUGUUUAAUAAACCAGGCGCAGUUUUUCCAUCUGAAACAGUAAACAAGUGUUAUGUUUCACUGGGGAAUGAAAAAGCAGGAGAAAUGCAGCGAGAGAGAGAGAGAGAGAGAGAGAGAGAGAGAGAGAGAGAAAAGACGAGGAGACAAUGUCACUAAAGGACACGGGCAGGGGAAGUUCACAUCAAGGAGGAGCCCGUUCACACGCAUCUCCUCCUCUCUAUGAACGAGGAGCGAUGAAGCCGCGCGUGGUGCAAGAGUGCACGUUCAUAGAAGCCGACGGCUCGGUGCUCGUCACAUAAAGAGGACGGAGCGUCAGGACUCGCGCACGUGAGGCCGCCUGUCAAUCAGCGCCGCUCCGCUCCGCUCCGCACCGCGUCCUAUUCAUAUUUGACACCGGCACCACUGACUGUGAGCGCCGCGGUCCGGAGCCGCUCCGGUUCCUUUUCUCAGAAACCGCCUGCGAAGACACGUGAGCAUCGCACUCACCUGCUGCGUGAAGACAAAGGGCGGCGGGUGCUUCAAUAAUGCAGCACAGAGACGAUGCUGUUGUUUGCGUAUCUUCACGUGACCUUGUGUCUGUAAUAAUCAGCUUUAUGCACUGGAGUUAUUCUGCUCGAGGUUCAUUAUCACCGUUCGCUGUGCAACCUUCAAGCGCACUGAGCUCCACUUCAGCACAGCUUUGACGACAGUUUGUCUCCUGCAACCUUGUCAUUUCGCAGACACUUUGGCAAAAAAAAGGAGAUUUUCUUCCCUGAACGUAUUUUUAGUUGCAGGUCGCGGCUGAAACAGCGGUGGUUCCAGCCCAAACACUGGAUGUGCAUGAAAGCAUGUUGCGCUGUUAAAUACCUGCUCCGCUGCCCUCGGCCGCGUCACCCGACACGCCUGCAGCGUUUCCGAGAAGAGAACUGUUUAUUUUAUUUGUUCCGUGUGGGAAACUCUUCACCUGCCUCCUUAACGGCGCAGGAACUCCAGGUUCAAGACAGUAUAACAGAAAAGCAUGAAUAUUGAGAGCGUGCUUGGGGGACGUGCUCCCUAAACUGCCGGCAAUGAACCAGUGUUUGUUUUGUGUUCUGCUCUGUGGCAGAGGGAGACUGUCCUUGAGGACGCCACAUAAAUCAGCAAUCGGCAGCGGGAGCAGGUGCCGGCCCCGGGGUCUGCCAGCGAGAGCAUAAACUUAAUUAAGUCCCGUCUUACAAGGUGUGCAGGCACGGGAGGCCUGUAAUGAAAGCCUAAUGCCCGCCACAAAUUGGUCCAACAAGCAGCCGAAACGGAUGCGUGACAAGGCGCGGGUUGGGCCCCAGAGGGGACGGGGGGUCUCAGAGCCAAUAUGAGGCAGAAGACGCUGUGAGACGCUCUCCAACACGCACGACCUACGCCUCUGCAGCUUCAGACGGAUGCGUUUGUGGCAAAGAGCCGCCCUCAGGAGUCCAAGCCGCACACACCUGAUCUACAGUAAAACAAGCGUGCACCAUGUGACGGAUCCAGGGAAUGGAGACUUAAAGCAAACAGCACCCAGAUCCUGCUCUCCAACAGGAGCUUAAUCCUCGUCACCGCUGCUCAGGACAGGAUGCAUUCACGCCAAAUGUGUGAGCAGCUAAAAUGAACACUUUUCUUCUGCCUGAAAAUUAAAUUACCAAACUGGAAAAUACUCAUCUGCCACACGAUAAUUAAGGUUAUUAACUCUAACAAUAACAGGAAACAAUAACCAUUAGUCCCUCUUGUCUGCCAGCAGCAAAGGCCAUCCUUUAGUAUUAUUCCGUGUCUCGGAGGAAUUACCUCAGUGGAUGAAUAAUUUCAUAUUGGAGCGAUGUAUUGCAAUAAUUCAUAAUGUCUCUUCAAAUAAUUUUACUACUUGAAUUUCAGUAAAUUCCUGUGUGGCACAGAAGAUCUGAGGCAACAUCAUCCGCGCACAACAGGCUGCUUUUAAGGAUUCCUCCGCCGCACACGGCUGAUCUGGUUACAGAAGCGCCGGGAUAAUAAGAAUCAUAAUAAAUGUAAUUCCUCACAUUGAGGCCUCGCCGCCCGCUGAAAAUCUCGCAAUAUUGCUGGAAAACGUGA